AUUGAACGCUGGCGGCAUGCUUUACACAUGCAAGUCGGACGGCAGCACAGAGGAGCUUGCUUCUUGGGUGGCGAGUGGCGAACGGGUGAGUAACGCAUCGGAACGUACCGAGUAAUGGGGGAUAACUGUCCGAAAGGACAGCUAAUACCGCAUACGCCCUGAGGGGGAAAGCGGGGGAUCUUAGGACCUCGCGUUAUUCGAGCGGCCGAUGUCUGAUUAGCUGGUUGGCGGGGUAAAGGCCCACCAAGGCGACGAUCAGUAGCGGGUCUGAGAGGAUGAUCCGCCACACUGGGACUGAGACACGGCCCAGACUCCUACGGGAGGCAGCAGUGGGGAAUUUUGGACAAUGGGCGCAAGCCUGAUCCAGCCAUGCCGCGUGUCUGAAGAAGGCCUUCGGGUUGUAAAGGACUUUUGUCAGGGAAGAAAAGGAACGUGUUAAUACCAUGUUCUGAUGACGGUACCUGAAGAAUAAGCACCGGCUAACUACGUGCCAGCAGCCGCGGUAAUACGUAGGGUGCGAGCGUUAAUCGGAAUUACUGGGCGUAAAGCGGGCGCAGACGGUUACUUAAGCGGGAUGUGAAAUCCCCGGGCUCAACCCGGGAACUGCGUUCCGAACUGGGUGGCUAGAGUGUGUCAGAGGGGGGGUAGAAUUCCACGUGUAGCAGUGAAAUGCGUAGAGAUGUGGAGGAAUACCGAUGGGCGAAAGCAGCCCCCUUGGGAUAACACUGACGUUUCAUGCCCGAAAGCGUGGGUAGCAAACAGG
rnacentral:rRNA from 1 species